UUAUGCCCAAAUUGAAAACAAAAAUAAGAGAUUCAAUUAAGUUUGGUAGUUGCAAUCAAAGUAUGAAAACCACAACUUAUGAAUUUAUAGCUUGGGGCAAAAGUCUAAAAGUAGAUACAAUUUUAUGGACCUGAUUGCAAAUUGUCAAAAGGUUGAAACUGGAAGCGACUCAUUGAUUGGAAGAUAACGUGAUCAUAAUGUGCAUCUGUUACAUGGGGUUUAAGAUGUCAGAGUAUAUAAUCGUUUCUCUAAUCGAAAAACCCUCCAAAAAACCUUGAAAGAAUUAUGAGAAAUCGAUAAAGAACAAUGGCUAUGGGGGCAGGUCUGAGUUAGCGAAGAUCACGUUGGAAUUCACUGUGUUUUGAGGUAGAUCGACAAAAGGACUCACGUCGCAUGCCUUCUUAUUCUCUCUGCCGGUUAUCAUUGUUAUCGAUCUAAGGAGGCUGAACAUGGAGGAUUUUCAACCAAAGAACGCUAGGGUUUAUCAAUCAUCGAUUUUCAGUUUGCAGCUGCAAUUAGGGUUUAUCAAUCAUCGAUUUUCACCAUCAUCAUCAUCGAUCUCCAUCUUUAGCCUCCUAUUACCAUUGCCAACCGCCUUAUCAUCAUAUUCAAACGUAAUUGAUGUUGGUGAUCUUUUUUAUUAGCGAUUCAAUGUAUAAGAAAACCUAACUGGGGAUGAAUACAAUCAUACACGCAUAAUUAGAGGUGGCAAAAAUUGACCCGACACGAAAUAAACGAGUUUGGGUACGAUAUUUCAACCCGUUUAAAUAAACGGGUUGACUCGACACGACACGAAAAUUAAAUGGGUAAGGUUAGGGUUGAGAAUUUCAACUCGAAUAUAACUCGAAAAUGACCCGUUUAUUUAUAUGCAAGUUUUUUGAAUUAUUUAAAUAAACUAGAAAGAUACAAAACCAAAAGCAUAAGUAAAAGAAAACCUUCGAAUUGAAUUGUUUUGUAAUGUUGAAAUAACUUAGUCGUCUAGAUCAAGAUUUCAUUUCAGUUUUUCCAUUCUCUCCCAGAUUACCCACUCUCUUUCACCACUCUCACAUCCUCAUGACCUUAUCAUCUGCCUCCCCAACUCCCACUCUUUUAAUUUUUUCAUCUAAACUUGCUAUGACUUCAUCUAUUCUGCCUCAAAACAAUUAGUUUUUCAUUUCCGCCUACCAAACUCCUACUCUUUCAACAUGCUCAAUCUUUUAACCUCACAUGACACGACAUAUUUCAAGGUAUAGCCCUAACCCGAAACCCGACACGAACUCGACACGAAAAUAAAUGGGUUGACACGACACGACACGUUAAUUAAAUGGGCCGGGUUAGGGUCAAUCACUUUCAACCCGUUUAGUGUUUCGACACGACACGAACCCGACCCAACACGACACGAUUGCCACCUCUACGCAUAAUAGGUAAUUAAUGAAUUUCAUUCAUAUUUUUUUUGCCCGUUACAUCUUUAUUAUUCAUCUUCCUACACCAGCAUCACCUUCAUCACCAUUUUCUGCCACUAUUCUAUUUUAUCUGGUAAACAUAUUCUUAAAACAUCAUACACUCAUCCUCUCUACUUCUAAUCAGAGAUAAUCAUAUUCUUAUAUCAUUUUUAGCGAAAUUUUGAUAUGUAAUUAGGUAAUGAUGUUCAAGGCAUCUUUAUUUUUAAUUUCAUUUGAUGUUGGUAUAUUUAGUACAAAGCGUGAUGGUUUGUGUUUAUCCUAAAGGUGUUUGACGAAAUGUCUAGUAGAAAAGAUGUAGGUGGAUUUCAUUUUUUGUCACAAUAUUUUUGGUUUAAAAAAGAUGUAAUGGCAUAGAAAUCUUGAUAUAAAUGGUUGGUUAAUAUUUUUUCUUAGGAAAUACAUUCAUUAUUCUUUUUUUA